AUCGGUGUGGUUAAAAUGGGUUUGAAUAUCCUUUAGAUAUGGAUAUGGGUUUGAUGGAUCUGUUGCUGAAUGGGUUUGAUGGAUCUGAAUUUGGUGGAUCUGAUUCGAUGGAUCUGAGUUUGUUAUGGGUAAGAUCUGUUUAUGUAAUAACAACUCUAUCUUCUACCUUUAUCUCUCUCGUUUACGAUUUUUUCCAGAAAAUCCCUUCCUUCAGUUCUGUUUGCCUCAAUUUAUAGGGAAACAACUAAUGUUUUCAUUCAUGAUACAAAUACAUGUUCUGUAUUUUGCAUUGCUACUCAGCCAAGAAUUAAUUGGAUUUUACAUCAAUUGUUGUAAAAUAAUGACCUCUAUAGUCUAAAAUAUAUGAUAGUUUAAAAC
rnacentral:lncRNA from 1 species